GUGGGUCCCGCUGCUCUAAUGAGAAUACCAGGUCUCUUAAUUUUCAAAUCUGAAAUUUUUUUGCCCAGUUGAUUCUGUGCAAUCUGUUGAUUUGUCCAGUUAGUUUAAGUAAAUCGUUUGGGCAAAUCAUUGUCUGAAAAUGUUAUGCAGGACGGUUCAGAGUUUCUAUGCAAUUUUUGGCUUUUGUACAGUACAAUAGAAGGUUUGCCCAAAUCGACUGGUCAGUGCUUUUAAGCCACUUUUCAUCAAAUCUUCUUCUAUUUUUGCUUUUCUGCGGAACAUGCCCAAAAAUAUAAAUUUAGCUUGAAAAAUAUUUAAUUAAAUGCUAAAAAUAAUAUGAAAAAUGUGUUGAAAUUAUGUUCGAUCAAGUAGCAGCUGACUUCUUGCUACAAUCAAGUCCUUGUUCUACUGACUUUUUACUAAUUAAAGCAAAAUACAAAAGACUAUGUUUCAGUUGAUUUCCAGAAAUUCAGGUCUUCAUGUUAAGAGGGAAACUCAAUUGCUGUCAAAACUCAGAACAUGACAACCAAUGUAGGUCAAGAAGAUGGAAUUUUUAAUGUUGUAUUGCACUUCUGUAUAAGAGGUUUAGUUCAGAGGGUUAAACACAAUCCCACCUUCUGUACAUUCACAUUCUUGUAGACUGUCUUCUACAGAAGGAAAAAAAUGGCUGCCUGUCAUAUCCGUUCAACCAGCUUACCUUCCAGAUCUCAUCCUCUAGUUCUUACUACUGAGGAGUAGGUGUAGAAAUUGAAGGCAUCUCAGUUCUCAUCAAUGAGCUACAAAUUGAAUGGCCUAAAGAAUUUGUUCGAGUGCCUCGAUGAUUUGCUUCAAAUACCACUAGCCCAACAGACUCUCUUCCAAGAAAGGAAAAACUAGUGUGUAGAAAACACAUUGAGUGGAUCUAUGGAGUUAUUGGAUUUGUGUGAUUCCAUAAGAGAUUUUUUCUCACAGAUGAAGGAAUGUGUGCAAGAACUUGAAUUAACUCUCCGUAGAAGAAAAGAUAUCACAUCUAAAGUUAAGGGUUACAUAGUAUCUAGAAAGAAGUUGAGCAAAGUUAUAUGCAAAUACCUGAGAAAUCUGAAGAGAAAGGAAAGGAAUUGUACAACAGAAGCCAUGGAGUAACUCCAACUUGACUAACAUGAUUAGCUUAUUAACAAGAGUCCAAGAAAUUAGUCUUGAUGAGUUUAAGUCAAUCUUAUCUUUCAUUUAUCGGUGUUGACCAACAUAAAAGGUUUCUAAUUAGGAGAAUUCAAAUAUUUGAGAUUCUAAUUAGAUUUGAUUUUAGGGAUUUUAUUUUUAUUGUAAAUAUUUUUAAUUUAGAUUGAUUUUUUGUGUAGAAAUACUCAAAUCUUGUAAAGAUCUGUAACGACCCGAAAAUCGGACCGCUACCGGCGCUAGGAUCCAGGUCGGCUUAAGGCCGCCGGGACCCGUAGCAAGCCUAACAUGCAUCCUGUAAACCUGUUUAAUCCCAUACAUGAUCAACAAUAUACAUAAAAAAAUAAAACUUUUCUUUCAUACAUUCUAUCAUACACCAAACUCAACCUGUGCAUGCACUGAACAUAGUCAUAAUCAUAAGCUUGACCCCUCUGUGGGAUCUCAUCAAUGCCCCCAAUGGUUGGCAUAACAUGUGUUGAGUUGGUUUACAUAAGCAUUACAAAACAUCUAACAUCAUGUAUUAAAAGGGAUACCAUACACAUAGGGUCAAGCACAAUCUCUAAUCCUCAAUGUCAUUACAUUACAUAACUAUUCACAACUCUACAUCAUUAUACAAUUUGUCAUGUCCACAUUCUAGCUAUUACAUACAUAAGACAUCAUUACUCUUGCUGACCUCCUGGUCUACCCUGUACCUGCAAGCCUGGGGGUUAAGGGAGAGGGGUGAGCUACAAGAGCCCAGUGAGCAGAAUAAUAAAACAUUUAAAAUAUAUGAUAACAUGAAAUGCAUCACAUCACAACUAAUCACAUCAAGGAUGAAUUUUUCACCAAUAGUCUUCUACAUGGUCCAACUGUGCCAGGGGCGUAGAAUGGACCUCACUGGUCUUUCUCUUACAUAGUCAUAACAUAGCAUAACAUAACAUUCCAACUAUGCCAGGGGCGUAGAAUGAGCCUCACUGGUCUUUCUCUUACAUGGUGCCAGGGGCGUAGAAUGGGCCUCACUGGUCUUCCGUACCGUAUCAUCAUCAUAUCAUAACAUAUGAGGACUAAAGGAUCAUUCAACAUUCAUCUGCAUCAUCAACAUAUUAUGCAAUGCAACAUAUUCGUGAGUUCUAAUGCAAGCACCCUAUUAUAUCUCAUGGCAUUCAUGAUGCGUGAAUCAUGCUAAAACUGAUUUAUUUAUUUAAAAGCAUAAGAGUUUUUCCACUCACCUCUGGCUGAAGCUCUACUGACUCAGAAGCAGCUGAACUCACUGCUGGGGUCCUCGGUUCCUCGGGUCCGAACCUACACAGGUGGACUCAAAUGAGGGACCAACAUACUAGAACAUAACUCUAAAAACAUCCCCCAAAAACCCCCAAAAACACCUCAAAACAAUCAUGCAAAAACAUGCAAAGGAAGGCUGAACAGGGCACUUUCGGCGGCAGGUUCGGCGGCCGAAAGUCCCUCCAGAGCCGAAAGUCAGGCAGGUUCGGCGGCACCUUCGGCGGCCGAAACUCCCAGAUAGAGACGAAAGUCUCCUUUCGGGGGCAGGCUUCGGCAGCCGAAAGGCUUGCCUCCCCAGCUAUAUUCGGCGGCCGAAAGUCCUUCGGCUGCCGAACCUGGUUUCUGCCAAAGGGCAGAAACUUGGCUCCUCUAUGCACAUACACCUCCCAAUCCAAACCAAACAUGCAUAAACCUAUUCUACAACACACAUACACAAGCAUACAAGCUCCUAGGGGUUUCAAACCAUCUAAAACCCCAUCUACAACACAAAUCCAACAUACAUUGCCCAUAAACCAACAAAAACCCAAAAACUCAUAAAACCCUACACAUGCAUUUCUACUUCAAGAAUCAACUUAAAACUUGUUUUAAACAUAAAGUGAGCUCAAGAUCGGCCCUUACCUCUUGAAGAUCGAGAGGAAAACGACCCUAGCUCGAAGAUGGGAGAGAUUUGAGUUCUUGAACUUCAAAGAUCCAAAACUUGCUUUAAACUCGAAAAUCUUCAAAACAAGAUGAAAACUUGUGAAAAUCGUGAAAGAUUUGAAGAAAGAACUCAAAGAUUGGUGAGGGACGGCGGAGAGCUCACCUUGGCCGACAAUGGGGAGAAAAGCUCGCCCAUUUUCGGCUAAGGGACCCUUUUAUAGUGGCUGGCCAGGCCACGUUCGGGGGCCGAACAUUCCUCCGCACUUGCCUCCGCAUGCAAGCCAUGUUCGGCGGCCGAACUUGAGGUUCGGCGGCCGAACCUGGACUUUCCUCACUUAUGCUUUCAGGGGCCUAAGGCGCAUCCGAAAUGCAUGCAUGUUCCGCGGCCGAACUUGAGGUUCGGCGGCCGAACCUAGGUUUUCCUCCAAGGUUGUUUUCAUGUAAAAACUCAUUUCCAUCUUGCUUAAAAGCAUCAAUAUAUUAAAACAUUUUAUGAAAACAUGGUUUUACCCUUCUAGAGGUCUCCGACAUCCGAGAUUCCACCGGACGGUAGGAAUUCCGAUACCGGAGUCUAGCCGGGUAUUACAAGAUCAAUUCAAUUGGAAUAAAAUAAAAAAAUUUUUCAAAAUUCUUCAUGCUAUCAGAGUUUUUUUUCUUGAUUUUAGGGUUUAAAUUUAAUUUUUCUCUUACCAUUUCUAAAACCCUAGAUCUACCUUUUUAGUACUACCAUAUUUAGGAAUCUUUUUUCAUCUCACUGCUACCACCAGCAAGGUCGCCGGACCAUCACCGGCCAGCCAUUCAGCUCCGAUGCUGGAAAGUCACACUCGUGAGACUCAUGCGCCCUUCCAAGAUUCUGCAUUGUUCCACGCGCCGGCGCGUGUGACAUUUUUCAGUGGUCUUUUCUCGCCUUCAAGUCGCACCUUUGGCCUGUGUGGACUCGUGACUUGGUUCACCUUUUUUUAGCGUGGGAUAUGUUUUUUGGUGGUUUUCCGGCAGUGAUCCUUUCCCGAAGACUCACCUUCAAGUUGGACCCAUGCUUUUUUCGCUGGUGAAUAGUAAUAUUCUUUUUUCAGUAACAAUCAUUUUUUACUUUUUUUUGACAGAAAAGUGUGAUUUUUUUCUUGAAUCAGCAAUGAUUUGUAUAGGUAAUAUAAGGACUUCUAAUAAUGUUUUUGUUUCAUCUCUUGAUUUUGCUCUAUAGAUUAUUGAUUCUAGUGCAAAUAGACAUAUGAUGGACUCUUCUAAAGAUUUCCUUAAUUAUAUUCCGUGUCUAUAAAAAGACAAUGUCAAAAUCGCAGAUGGUUCUUUUACUUCUAUAUCUAGAACUGAUUCUAUUGUUUGUACUACAAAUAUCAAGCUAUCCUCUAUUAUUCGUGUUUCUUGUUUCUCUGUUAAUUUUUUAUUUGUUAAUGCUCUCAGGAAAAUAUGAUUCAUGAGAGGUUAAAAAGUGGCAGGAGCAUUGAACAACAUUGACACACUGAAAAUCCAUCCUAUUUCUGUGCCACAGUUGGUAAUAUUCACGAGCCCUACAGAAGAAUCACAAAUUCUUUGCAAUGUAGUUGUGCUUCCAGCUCUCAUGAAAGUAAUAUGGGAUUGAAGCUUCUCAUCCAAUCCACCCUCAAUGGAACUGAUAUGUCUGGAUUUUCCAGCUAAAGCCUUUACACAGAUUGGUGCUGCUAAUCCUCCUGCUAUCUGCUACUGUAAUUGCGGUGGCCAGCACUUUUUAAUGAUAAUUUUAGCUCUUCAGCAACCCUCUUAUCCAGAAACCUAUUGGUACUACCACUGUCAAUUAGCACUCGUAAAAUCUUGUAUAUAAUAUUCAUCAGCAGACUGCAUUCAAUUCUUCUUUUUCUUUUGGAAAAAAAAAAUCAAUGUCAAAGAUUGCAUAAAAGCGUGUAUUUAUAUAUGCUGCUACAUGUUCGUCUAAUCUUUCUGUCAAUGUGGGGUUCAAAUAAAGAAAACAGCUAAACUUGAUCUGCAG
rnacentral:lncRNA from 1 species